GCAAGCCAAGUCUUUAUUAAAGCCUCUUCCUUUUUUAUCAGUACUUGAUACCUAUAAUGGCAAAAUAUUUGGAGUAAGCAAAACAGGAAAAUCGUACAAAGUACGUUCGCAGCCUUUGCUCAGUCUUAUGAAGCAGGAAAAUCAAAGCCAAAUAAUUCAAAAAACCUUUUCUUCCUUUGGAAAUUUGACUAGUUUCUGGAAAAUUGGGGCACUAGUCUCUGUCCAUUCCUGCCAGAAGUCAUGGAUUAGCAAAAGAAGAAAGAAUAUCUUUACAAUAGAUUCUAUUUUAUGAAGUUUGUUGCAAAUAAAAGAGCGUGUCGACUAGAAAUUAUGACAUCUGUGGAAAGUUUGAGUUUAAGCCCAAAAUGAUUUAAAGUUGAAUUCCUUAAAGGGAGAAGGAAGAGCAAUGGAACACAGGUGAUUGGGCUGUAAUUAAUGUUAUACAUGUAAAGUUGGUAUGAUGCUUUCUUUAACGCUCUCAAUGCCUUGUCGUAUAGCAAGAUCAAAGAAA